CGGUGCUUAGCUUAUGUAAAGCAUCAGUGACAUGACACAUCAUUUAAUUGGUUAAUUAUUAUAUUCAUGAGACCUACCAUUAACUUAUUCACCAAUUAAAUAAUAUAUCAUGUCACCGAUGCUUAACAUAAACUAAAUACUAGUGUUUAAAAGAUCAUUUCCGUAUAUUACACACCACCCCACUUUUCCUAUUUUUUUAUCCAUUUCCUCCAAGUCACAAUUCACGUUCACUCUCAAAACCACUACCACCACCGCUCGCCCAUACCAAUUCCACCAUCGCAACCUACCACUAAGACCCAUUCCAAACUCACCCUACCUGUAGAAACCAUAACCAUAAUCCUAACCCUAACUCCAACCCCAUUUCUACACCAAUGAAUGGUUUUACAGGCUGCUCGACCCUUGAUUUGUAUCGUGAGGCCAGUCGAAGUUAAGGAGGAAGACUGCGGCCUGAUAUCAUCAUCGAUGCAGUCCGUUUUGACGAUUUAGGUAGCUGGAGGAAGCUUUGUAUAGGGCAGCAGCGCUAAGGUUUCCACCUAGAGCCACCGCUAACUGAAUGGGUUUAGAGACCACUGGAGCUCCUGUAGCAGGAUUCAAGUCCGGAAGGGAGACAGCGACCUUAUUCCACCCUUGAUAAAGUUCGUUUCAAGCGAUUUGGGUCGCGAGAGAAAGCUUUGGAUGGGGCGGCAACUCUAGGGUUCCCACCCAAGGCCAUCAUCAACUGAAUGAUUUUAGGGGCUAUUGAGGCCUAUAGUAUGUAGCGUGAGGUCGAUCAAAGGUAGGGAAGGAGACGACGACGUGAUUCAAUUGUGGGUGCAAUGCAUUUUCGAUAAUUUGGGUGGUGGAAAAGAAGCUUUAGAGUGGCGUAGGUGUGAUGUGGGGAUGUGACAAGUUAAUUUAAUAAUUGAUAACAAAUAAAUAAUUAGUUAUUUAUAAAAAUGUGUAAUUUGUGAUUAAAUUUGUAAUUGUGACCUAUAAAUUGUGUCUUUGUAACCUGACCUUGUGCAACUUGUGAGUAGCAUGUUAUCG
rnacentral:lncRNA from 1 species